AACGCUAGCUACAGGCUUAACACAUGCAAGUCGAGGGGAAACGAUAGAGAAAGCUUGCUUUUUCUAGGCGUCGACCGGCGCACGGGUGAGUAACGCGUAUCCAACCUGCCCAUCACUUGGGGAUAACCUUGCGAAAGUAAGACUAAUACCCAAUGAUAUCUCUAGAAGACAUCUGAAGGAGAUUAAAGAUUUAUCGGUGAUGGAUGGGGAUGCGUCUGAUUAGCUUGUUGGCGGGGUAACGGCCCACCAAGGCUACGAUCAGUAGGGGUUCUGAGAGGAAGGUCCCCCACAUUGGAACUGAGACACGGUCCAAACUCCUACGGGAGGCAGCAGUGAGGAAUAUUGGUCAAUGGGCGAGAGCCUGAACCAGCCAAGUAGCGUGCAGGAUGACGGCCCUAUGGGUUGUAAACUGCUUUUAUAAGGGAAUAAAGUGAGUCUCGUGAGACUUUUUGCAUGUACCUUAUGAAUAAGGGCCGGCUAAUUCCGUGCCAGCAGCCGCGGUAAUACGGAAGGUCCGGGCGUUAUCCGGAUUUAUUGGGUUUAAAGGGAGCGUAGGCCGGAGAUUAAGCGUGUUGUGAAAUGUAGACGCUCAACGUCUGCACUGCAGCGCGAACUGGUUUCCUUGAGUACGCACAAAGUGGGCGGAAUUCGUGGUGUAGCGGUGAAAUGCUUAGAUAUCACGAAGAACUCCGAUUG
rnacentral:rRNA from 1 species